rnacentral:rRNA from 1 species
AUUGAACGCUAGCGGGAUGCUUUACACAUGCAAGUCGAACGAGUGGCGGACGGGUGAGUAAUAUAUCGGAAAGUGCCUAGUAGCGGGGGAUAACUACUCGAAAGGGUGGCUAAUACAGCCUACCACCGGAGCGGCCCAUAUCGGAUUAGCUAGUUGGUGGGUGAAAGGCUCAACAAGGCAACUCUCCGUCGCUGGUUUGAGAGGACGACCAGCCACACUGGGACUGUGGCACGGCCCAGACUCCUACGGUAGGCAGCAGUGGGGAAUUUUGGACAAUGGGGGAAACCCUGAUCCAGCCAUCCCGCGUGUAUGAGAAGGCCUUCGGUUUGUAAAGUACUUUUGGCAGAGAAGCGGUAUCUGCAGAAUAAGCACCGGCUAACUACGUGCCAGCAGCCGCGGUAAUUC